GUUUGGACUUUGAGGAUAACCCACAGCGCCACGGAGUGAGCUCAUGAGAGACGCAGAGCACCAGGCAGCGCCGCCCGUCGUCGCCGCGAGGCCCGUUUGGACAAAGUCCUUUGGGACAUGCAACGCCACCGGAGACUGGAGGAACAGAUCCUACGGACAGGCCGGGACCUAUUUCCACCCACCAAAUACUGAAAAAACCCAAAAAACCCCAUUUUUAUGGCCCAAAAAGCUCCUUUUUCACCCCAAAAAGAGACUUUUAGGCCUAACUAGGCCUCAUGAGGCCUAACUAGGCCGCGUUGUCGCCUCUUGAUGACGUCAUAGCUGCGACUUCCUGUUUUAGCCCCGCCUCUUCCUGUUGAGGCCGCCAUCUUGUCCCUCACAAAUACUGAUAAACCCCCACAAAAACGCCAUUAUUAUGCCCAAAUAAACAACUUUUUCACCCCCA
rnacentral:lncRNA from 1 species